CCUGGCGGCACUAGCGCGGUGGUCCCACCUGACCCCAUGCCUAACUCAGAAGUGAAACGCCGUAGCGCCGAUGGUAGUGUGGGGUCUCCCCAUGCGAGAGUAGGGAACUGCCAGGC
rnacentral:rRNA from 1 species